rnacentral:misc_RNA from 1 species
UCAAACUUGGUCAUUUAGAGGAAGUAAAAGUCGUAACAAGGUCUCCGUUGGUGAACCAGCGGAGGGAUCAUUACAGAGUGUAAAAACUCCUAUAACCCACUGUUUACCUUACCUGAAGAAAUGGUUGUUCUCCUUCGGCGGGCGGUUCCAGGGCGGAGCCGCGGCCGGGAGUCCCCUUGUGGGUUCCUAGCGCCCGCCGAAGAACACCGAAACUCUUGCUGUUCAGUGUAUCUCUGAGCCUAAAGACAAAUAAUCAAAACUUUCAACAACGGAUCUCUUGGUUCUGGCAUCGAUGAAGAACGCAGC